UAACCUAAAGUUUGGAAAACUUCAAGUGUUUCGUUUGCAUCUGUUUUAUUAAUUAAUUGACAGGCAAAGUUUUAAAUUAGUGAAUCAUUAUUACAUCGAUGAUAAAUAGUGGUGUUCUAGAUUUAAAUGGAGCUCCGAAAAUUUUUUAAUUUUAAUUUUUGGAGAUAACGAAUUGAUUAUUUUUCAUAAAGGUUCUGCGACCUUUCUCUUAUAAUGAAAAGUAUGAUUAUUAUAAUAUAAAACGACAAAAAUAUAUAAUUGUUAUUCAAUAUAGUAUAUCGGUUGCUCCAUUUUUGGUAAAAAAAAGUAAUUUUUAAAAUUUUAUGUUUUAAAAUAUCAUUCUUUUCAGCAUAAUAAGUAACAUUUGAUUUGGGCAUUAAAGACAGGAAGUUAAAAUUUAUUAGAAUUUGAAUGAAAACUGAUAGCUUUCAUAAUAAUUUAUGUCAAUCCGCUGUAACUUUAUCUUUAAAUUAUAUCAUGAAUUUCUAAAUGAGGAAUAAUAUAAAUACCUAGAGAUAUUUAUAUUCAAUUUAAUUCAAAGCUAACCAUUAUUUCAGCAAUAAAAUAGAACAAGUAAAUUUACUAUUAGUCCUGUAAUUCUUAUGUAUGAUUUUAGUUUCUUAUACAUUUUUGAAGAAUAAUUUAACUUAAGGGAUGUUUUUGUAUGUACUGCAUUUGUGUAUUCAUAGACUUUGGCAAUUAAUGUAAGUAUUUUCUCUAUACAAAAUGCUUUCGCACAUAUUUAAUUUUUUGGCAUUUACAUGUGCAACAUCGGUAUUUGGUGGAAGCUGAUUUACAUCCAAUUUUAAGUAUUUCUUAUCUCUCUGGUAGAUGGAUGUUAAUAGAUAUUAUGCCUUAUUUAAGUAUUAGAAUUUGUUGAUAAGAUUUCAAACAUACGUAGAUUAAUCUGAAUUAGUCAGGUAAAUAUUAAUUAUAAAGGAUAAAAUGAAAUUUACAAAUAAUACAAUAAUAAUAAAAUAAUAUAACUUAUAUGUAUUUCAAACUUAAAUUGUGAAUAAAAAUAUAAACAAGAAAUGUUUAUAAUUUGUUGUGUAUUGUAUUCCGAUGAAAGAUGUGGAGUGAUAAAUUUGUUUAAUUUUGUAAAGCAUUAAAAAGCACAAUAUUGUAAAUUUGCUAAUCGUGAGAGGAGAUAUUAUUUUUUGAAGAAUAUUGUAGAAUUAUGACGAAAAGAAAAUUCAAUCUUUCAUCAUUUUAAAAUUAUAUUAUAAUUUUUUAAUCCCAAGGGUGAAAGCUGUACUGAAUCACAAGUUUUUGUUUUACCAAGAUGGAGACGUUAUGCAUAUAUUUUAA